GCCCAGAUACCUCAGUUGGUAGAGCAUGAGACUAAUAAUCUCAGGGUCGUGGGUUUGUGACCCACAUUGGGUG
rnacentral:tRNA from 1 species